GAAAGAUUCAUCGGAAGAGGAUGGGCAUGCGGCGCAUUAGCUAGACGGCGGGGUAACGGCCCACCGUGGCGACGAUGCGUAGGGGUUCUGAGAGGAAGGUCCCCCACACUGGUACUGAGACACGGACCAGACUCCUACGGGAGGCAGCAGUGAGGAAUAUUGGUCAAUGGGAGAGAUCCUGAACCAGCCAAGCCGCGUGAGGGAAGACGGCCCUAUGGGUUGUAAACCUCUUUUGUCGGAGAACAAAACCCGGGACGUGUCCCGGACUGCGUGUAUCCGAAGAAAAAGCAUCGGCUAACUCCGUGCCAGCAGCCGCGGUAAUACGGAGGAUGCGAGCGUUAUCCGGAUUUAUUGGGUUUAAAGGGUGCGUAGGCGGUCCGUUAAGUCAGCGGUAAAAUUGCGGGGCUCAACCCCGUCGAGCCGUUGAAACUGGCAGACUUGAGUUGGCGAGAAGUACGCGGAAUGCGCGGUGUAGCGGUGAAAUGCAUAGAUAUCGCGCAGAACUCCGAUUGCGAAGGCAGCGUACCGGCGCCAGACUGACGCUGAGGCACGAAAGCGUGGGGAUCGAACAGGAUUAGAUACCCUGGUAGUCCACGCAGUAAACGAUGAAUGCUGGUUGUUCGGGUCGAAUGAGAUCUGG
rnacentral:rRNA from 1 species